CGGUACAAACCGGGGCGUGAACAUCUGAAGUGUUUCUCGCAGCCAGCAGUCACUCUGAACUCACCUGGAGGGAAAAGGCUGAACCAAAUCCAAUUAGCUGCACAAAGUUAGCACAACUGACAGACAUGAGUCAUGUUUGAUUUGGGGAGAAGGGGAGGAAGUACCAGCAUUCUUACAAAAUAAGAGCCCACAUUUUACCUUAAGUGAAGCUUUAUUUUGAAGAGUUAUGCUGGGUUUUGUUUUAUUUUGUAAUUGUUCCUCAUUCUGUCCGGUUCCUGCAGAUCUUCAUAAAGAAAGCAGAGUGAAGCUCCGCCUCCUGAGCUCACCUGAUCGCAGAGCGGCGCCCCCGUGUGGCCGCUGCGGAGCCGUUCAGCUCAGAGACUGAAACCCUUCGAACAGGCGGCACCGGCUGGUUUCCACGGCAACGCGGACCAACCAGAGUUCUGUAUUUAUGUGUACAUACGACACACCCCUUCCUGUCGUCACACACCACCUUCACACACACUCACGGGCGUGUGUGUGUGUGUGUGUGUGUGUCAGCCGCUGCGGGUCCUCCCUCCGUCGGUUAACGAGUUGCCUUAACGAGGACAGAGCAGACUGCGUCCAUGUAGCGUCCGUCCUGCUGAAACUACUGAAGGCGUUUGGAGUUCGACCUGAGGCCUUCUCGCCACAGCGCCCUUUGUUUACUGCGCCGCCUGGAAACUUUCUGUUUUCCGUAGAGAGACUGUUUUCCAUCCAGACGUUGUCUUCCAGAGAGGGACCAGCCUGCGGGCUCGGAGCAGAGGAAGUUUGGAUAAAUGGUUCCCGUUCUGUCGUUCCUUCACAUCAGCUGUAGGUGCCUUCUGAUGUAAAUAGUCCCGAAACACGGGUCGCUCUUCCCGACCACAUUUUACUCCCUUUAGUUUGGAUUUUAGAUGUGGAGGAACAGCAGAUUUUCUCUUCUGAUCAAAAAUGCCAAGAAGUUUUUCUACGCCACGUCACACCGGCUCUGCAGCCGUCCUCCAUCACAGCAGCACGUCAAAAAUGUUUCAGCUGUGCAUACAAGCAUCAACAUUAGCAUGCUAAUGCUAACCCCUCAGGUCCAGUGUUCUAUAUGGAUGACGGCCAUUUUUCAAGAUGGUUGCCUUUUUUUUUUUUAACUAAUAUUUGGAAUAAAAUGUUCCUCAUUUCCAUGAAUUGGAGGAACUUUGUGUCUCCAUAAAACUUUAAAGUGAUAAAAAGCAGCAGAAUCAGAAACUGAGGAUUUUGCUGUUGGCGAGAGACGGACCACUUAACGGUUAGCGUUAGCUUCAUUAAUUUUUUUAACGUAUUGAACAGUUUAGCGUUAGCAUAACUAAGAUUCUCCUUUAGUUAGUGGCUGGUGAACCAUACAUAGCUUAACUGGUUAGCGGUGGAUAAUAAUUCCUGCCAACUUUAGUGGAAACAUGUAUUCUACAUUAAAACCCUGGUGGCCAUUUUGAAAAAUGUCCACCAGAAAAAGAACAAGAUCAAGAAAAUAUAAAUAAUUUGUAUGGUUGAAAAUAUUUAGGCUUUAAUUUGACACCAAACACAUUCAUCUAAUUGGAGAUUUUUGUGCAGAACUAAAAAUUUAUUUUCCAUUACAAUGGCAGCCAUCUUGAAAAAUCAAAAACUUACCUAUAAUUAUGAUUUCUAUGACUUCUGUAUAAUUUGACACCAAAAGCAUUACACUUCGGCAAACUUAGGGCCACAGUAUAUUUUCCUUGACCACCAUGGCGGCCAUUUUGAGUGUUUCAGAGACUAAUGCUUUUUUUGGGGGAACAUUUGUGUCAUGUUUGGUUCUUGUAUCCGCACGUGAAAGAUUUUGCUGAAACGUUAGAUCUGCUGGUCAAAACUUCCUGCUGUGACGUUCUGCUUUCAUUUCGAAGCUUUUUACAAUCAAACCCUUCAGAUUCACCGUGUCGGAUUGGACGGGUUUCACAAACACUGCAGUAGAAAGGGUUAGAUAAAGAUUUUCACAAUCAUUUUUCUAAUUUGAGCUCCUGAGUAACAAAGUUUUCAGUAAGGUUUUUCAGAAAAGCUAAAAACAAGCUGGUUUGGUGAAACAAGGAAGGAGAUCCAAUCAGAUCAGUGAUUUUUCCCAUCAGAUCCAUUGGACCACUUUGUUAAAGAAAACCAGGAAAAUGACCUCAGGGAACAAUUUAUCUGGACUUUUCCUCCGCUCAGACGGAGCUCCGGUCUCUCUGCCCAGACUCACUGAACAUAACUUGAGUUUUAUUUCGUUUCCUCUUUGAUGCACUGGAUUGCAUUACUGUCAUCUUGUUUGUGUCUUUUGUACCCUUUAGAUAAACUAUUUAAAUGAGCUUCUAUCCAAUCUGUGGAUUGUAAUAAAGAGAGAAAAUGAAAUAAUUUCA